GGAUGUAAGGGAGAUCUGGCUGUGACAUCUGUCACCCCAUUGAUUGCCAGGGUUGAUUCGACUGAUCUGGCUGGCUAGGUGGAAGCCCCCUUGCUCCCUCACCUCUCCAUAUGUGUCUCUCCAGAAGCUGUGCGUUGGGUUGAAGAGGACCACCACCUCCUAUAGAGGAGGACCAGUUCCUCGGCCAAGGGUAUGUGAGCAGCUGUACUCCCUUGCUAGAAAGUACAGGAAGUAAUUUAGAUAUCCAUGUCUGAAUUGAUAACUGUUAGGGUUUUGAUCUAAAAU
rnacentral:snRNA from 1 species